UACGAAGGUGGCAAGCGUUGUUCGGAUUUACUGGGCGUACAGGGAGCGUAGGCGGUUGGAUAAGCCCUCCGUGAAAUCUCCAGGCUUAACCUGGAAAGUGCAGAGGGGACUGUUCAGCUAGAGGAUGGGAGAGGAGCGCGGAAUUCCCGGUGUAGCGGUGAAAUGCGUAGAGAUCGGGAGGAAGGCCGGUGGCGAAGGCGACAUCCUGGACCGGUAUUGACGCUGAGGCGCGAAAGCCAGGGGAGCAAACGGG
rnacentral:rRNA from 1 species